rnacentral:lncRNA from 1 species
CUAAUAUCGUAAAUGCCCUUAUAAAAAUUAAAAUAUCAUAAAUAAUCUUCCAAAAGAGAGAAAUUUUUAAAAAUAACCUUUACAUUAAUUUAUCAUCAAUUUUGAAUAAACGACAAAUAAAAUUUCAACUUUACCCCUGUUGUCAUUACCAUCUUAAAAUAUUCAAUUGGCUAUAAAAUCAGUUAUAACUUUAUAAACAUCCCAUUAAAUUUAUAAAUA